GCCAGUGUGGCCUAAUGGUUAGAGUGUCAGACUACGACCCGGGGAAGCCCAGGGUUCAAAUCCCCCCUCUGCCA